UAGGGAAUCUUCCGCAAUGGACGCAAGUCUGACGGAGCAACGCCGCGUGAGUGAAGAAGGUUUUCGGAUCGUAAAGCUCUGUUGCCAGGGAAGAAAGGCUUAGGGAGGAAAUGCCCUAGGAUUGACGGUACCUGAGAAGAAAGCCCCGGCUAACUACGUGCCAGCAGCCGCGGUAAUACGUAGGGGGCAAGCGUUGUCCGGAAUUAUUGGGCGUAAAGCGCGCGCAGGCGGUGACUUAAGUCUGGUGUAUAAGCCCGGGGCUCAACCCCGGUUCGCACCGGAAACUGGGUGACUUGAGUGCAGAAGAGGAGAGUGGAAUUCCACGUGUAGCGGUGAAAUGCGUAGAGAUGUGGAGGAACACCAGUGGCGAAGGCGACUCUCUGGACUGUAACUGACGCUGAGGCGCGAAAGCGUGGGGAGCAAACA
rnacentral:rRNA from 1 species